rnacentral:rRNA from 1 species
AUUGAACGCUGGCGGCAGGCCUAACACAUGCAAGUCGAGCGGAUGAAGGGAGCUUGCUCCUGGAUUCAGCGGCGGACGGGUGAGUAAUGCCUAGGAAUCUGCCUGGUAGUGGGGGAUAACGUCCGGAAACGGGCGCUAAUACCGCAUACGUCCUGAGGGAGAAAGUGGGGGAUCUUCGGACCUCACGCUAUCAGAUGAGCCUAGGUCGGAUUAGCUAGUUGGUGGGGUAAAGGCCUACCAAGGCGACGAUCCGUAACUGGUCUGAGAGGAUGAUCAGUCACACUGGAACUGAGACACGGUCCAGGCUCCUACGGGAGGCAGCAGUGGGGAAUAUUGGACAAUGGGCGAAAGCCUGAUCCAGCCAUGCCGCGUGUGUGAAGAAGGUCUUCGGAUUGUAAAGCACUUUAAGUUGGGAGGAAGGGCAGUAAGUUAAUACCUUGCUGUUUGGACGUUACCAACAGAAUAAACACCGGCUAACUUCGU